rnacentral:misc_RNA from 1 species
UUUUUUUCAUUAAUUUUGUUUAGUCCUUAGGGAGAAUAAACCCCACUAAUUUCUAAUUAUUGAAAAUCAAUAUCAGGUUCAACAUAUGAAAUGUUAUUUUAUAAAAAUGGGCGUCGUGAGACACCACAAGUUUAAGUUUUGGUUACGUGGGACGCAAAAGUCGGAUCCAAGUCAAUGAAGACUCUUCACCUUCCUUUGUUUUUUGCUGACAAUCAAUGCCCAACUGAGUUGAACAGAGACUGAAAGUAAAAAGAGGUGUGGUAAUGAUCCUUCCGCAGGUUCACCUACGGAAA